ensembl:snoRNA SNORA70 Small nucleolar RNA SNORA70
UUGCAGCCAAUUAAGCUGACCAAGUCACUUUCCCCAUGAGGGCCUGAUGUGCAGGGAUUGCAAAUUGCAGGCUUCUUGGUAGUAUGUGCAGCCUCUUGCCUACUUGGGUUGUCCGAAGGGACCUUGACAAUAACU